GUUUAGAUGAGCCAGAGCACACAAAAGUUUCAGAAGAUAGAUCUGAUGAAAGUUUAAAAGAAAUUAAAGAAAGAUUUAAGAAACUUACAAGUGAAUUCAAUAAGAGUUAUACAAAUUUCAAUAAAGAACAGCAGAAUUAUAAACAAAAACGAAGAACAAAAGAGAAGACAUUUUCAGAAGGAAAAACCUGGAAUAUUAAGGUUAAUGUAAAAGUAACGAAGAGGUAAAAAUGAAUAAAGAAAUUCUUAACGCUUAAUUGUUUUUCUGUAAUAAUUUUUAAUAUCUUUAAACAAAAUAAAAAACAUAUGUAUUCGUGAAACAAGCCAAGACACAUCAAAACACUUCUUCCUGUAAGAACUAUUCGCCCAACACAAGAUUACAUUUCACACCCACUUUUCCAGUCUUUCAAGAAGCAGUUCAAGUGCCCAGUUCACACGUUAAACCAUGAACCAAAAAGAGGAAACCUUGAUGCAAGCACAGGCUGAAUUAAAAGAAAAACGAAAACAGAACCGGGAAAAUAAUGACCAAAGAUCAGAAGAAGGCAAUGCAGGAACUAUAACGCCAAAGGAGGGAAAUGCCAGCAACAAAACAGACGAAAAAACUAAUGAUGAUUCUGAAAUUAAAAAAGUAGCAAUAAGCCAUGAUUCCCUGAAAUCCAAGCAACCAACAAGUGAAAAAACUAAUGAUGAUUCUGAAAUUAAAAAAGUAGCAAUAAGCCAUGAUUCCCUGAAAUCUAAGCAACCAACAAGAUCUAAUCAGAAAAUUGAACCUGUCAAAUCUAAGGAUUCUUCCAGAUCACAAAAUCCAACCAAUGAUUUGGCUAAAGGUAGUGAAUCACAAUCAAGAUCUCAAAAUCAAAAUGCUGAAUCCGUUAAAAGCAAUGAAUCAAGAUCCGGCCAAAAAGUUGAACCUACUAACGACAAGGAUUCCGACAGCUUACUGGGGAUGGGAUUAGAAGCACUCUGUUUAGGUCACACAAGCUCUGACAAAACACAAAAUCAAAGCAACAUUUCUGCUAAAGGGAGUGAAACAAGAUUAAAUCUGAAAAAAAGUGAACCAAGAGAAAAUCUGAAAAAAAGUGAAUCUACCCGAUCUAAAGAAUCAUCCAGAGAUAAACGAAAACAGCAAGUGUCUUCCAAAUCAAGGGACCGAUCCAGACAAAAAAGAAUGCAGAAGAACAAGGACUCAAUCAAUAAAGGAGAUAAAAUGAAAAUUCAAUCAGAGGUUGGCGAGGAUGCCAAGUUUAAAAAAGGGAAUGAACUGGACAAAGAAAAAGAGGUAAAACAAGAAGCUCAAGAAGCCUCAAAGGUAAAUGACACUGAAACUGAUGAAAAGGCACCCCAAGAAAGAACAGAUUUACAACCUCCUAUUGACAAAAAGAAAGACGAUGCUGAAAGUGAAGCAGCAUUCUCUCCUCAGUUAUACUCUUUCACACAGAUGUCUAAAACAAGUGGUGUAAGAUUGGCAAUGUCACCACCGUUCUGGCUUCUCAUGGAUCACCUCUUGGCAGUCACGUGGAAACUUUAUUCAAAAAAAGAAUCAGAAAAAAAAGGGCUAGGAAUUGCACAACUACAGUGGGCUUAUGAAUUUUUGGCUGUGAUGAAAGAUAAAAAUAAUGAACUGAAGCAACCUAUGAACUCUCUAUCAGCACUCUUGGAAGAUGCACUUAUAAAUGCUUACUCAAAACUAGGGGAUAUUAAUAAAAUAUCAGAACAAACAGAUAGUCAAGGUUUUAAAAAUAAUAAGGCUACUAGGAAAGAUGACACUGAACACGAGGAAAAAAUGUCAGUAGAAACUGGCAAUAAGCAAUGGGAACCACAAGAAAAACAAGUAUCAUACACACUAAAUGAUAUUUUAAUACGAGCACCUACUCUACAAAAAGAUAUUUGUAAAAUUUUCAGUAUAGUAAAGAAAGCAAGACCAAAGAAGACAAACAGAUUAAAAUGCCUGAGCAAAAAAAAACUCUUGAAAAAGGUGAAGUGUUAAAAUAUCUUGAGCAUAUAAAGAAAGAGCAGAGGGAUAGAGCAUAUAGAGAGAAGAUACACUUGGAAGAAAUUGAAGAAGUAAUAAAAUUAGUACAAAAAGAUAAAUUUGAGAAUGAAACUUGGCGAAAGUCAGCUCUCAAGAAAGAAGACAAAUC
rnacentral:misc_RNA from 1 species